rnacentral:misc_RNA from 1 species
UUAGUCUAGCGCGUAUUCCUACCUGAUCCGAGGUCAACCUUGGUGCCGCCGAGGCGGGCUUGUGGGGGGUUUAGAGGCAGGACGCCGAGGACUCCCGAUGCGAGGCGAAUGCUACUGCGCAAAGGAGAGGGCCCUUCGGGUCCGCCACUGGUUUUAGGGGCCUGCCGUGGCAGAUCCCCAACGCCGGGCCACAGGGGCUC